CGGCGAGUGAAGCGGCAAUAGCUCAAAUUUGAAAGCUGGCCCCUUUGGGGUCCGCGUUGUAAUUUGUAGAGGAUGAUUCGGCGAGGGCUCCCGUCUAAGUCCCCUGGAACGGGGCGUCACAGAGGGUGAGAAUCCCGUAUGUGAUGGGUUGCCUUAGCCAUGUGAAUCUCCUUCGACGAGUCGAGUUGUUUGGGAAUGCAGCUCUAAAUGGGAGGUAAAUUUCUUCUAAAGCUAAAUACCGGCCAGAGACCGAUAGCGCACAAGUAGAGUGAUCGAAAGAUGAAAAGCACUUUGGAAAGAGAGUUAAAAAGUACGUGAAAUUGUUGAAAGGGAAGCGCUUGCAGCCAGACUUGUCCGCAGUUGCUCAGCCGGUCUCCUGACCGGCGUACUCUUCUGCGGCCAGGCCAGCAUCAGUUCGGGCGGUCGGAUAAAGACCUCGGGAAUGUAGCUCCUCUCGGGGAGUGUUAUAGCCCGGGGUGGAAUGCGGCCAGCCUGGACUGAGGAUCUCGCUUCGGCUAGGAUGCUGGCGUAAUGGCUGUAAGCGGCCCGUCUUGAAACACGGACCAAGGAGUCUAACAUCUAUGCGAGUGUUUGGGUGUCAAACCCAUACGCGUAAUGAAAGUGAACGGAGGUGGGAACCGCAAGGUGCACCAUCGACCGAUCCUGAUGUCUUCGGAUGGAUUUGAGUAAGAGCAUAGCUGUUGGGACCCGAAAGAUGGUGAACUAUGCCUGAAUAGGGUGAAGCCAGAGGAAACUCUGGUGGAGGCUCGCAGCGGUUCUGACGUGCAAAUCGAUCGUCAAAUUUGGGUAUAGGGGCGAAAGACUAAUCGAACCAUC
rnacentral:rRNA from 1 species